CGGCAAGGGCGGCAGCUACACAUGCAAGUCGAACGGUAGCACAGAGAGCUUGCUCUCGGGUGACGAGUGGCGGACGGGUGAGUAAUGUCUGGGAAACUGCCUGAUGGAGGGGGAUAACUACUGGAAACGGUAGCUAAUACCGCAUAACGUCGCAAGACCAAAGAGGGGGACCUUCGGGCCUCUUGCCAUCAGAUGUGCCCAGAUGGGAUUAGCUAGUAGGUGGGGUAACGGCUCACCUAGGCGACGAUCCCUAGCUGGUCUGAGAGGAUGACCAGCCACACUGGAACUGAGACACGGUCCAGACUCCUACGGGAGGCAGCA
rnacentral:rRNA from 1 species